AUGGAUCGCCUGCUCCGUGGUUGUAUUGCACUCGAGUACCUUCGUCUUCAGGCAAUCAAUGGGUUGAGUACCUUCCACAUCACCUCCAUGACCCUCCGGACUAUUUAUGUGUGUUACUGGUGCGGCAGGAAGACAUCACAAGAUGUGUACCACGAUAUGGUCAUUGAGGACACGCCCACACUUGAGAGAUUACUUGUAGUUGAUCAAGAAGGUCCAACAAGAAUCAAUGUCAUUUCUGCGCUGAAAUUGACAGUGGUGGGCUAUUCGUCUAACAAAUACUCCGAACUUGUUAUUGGAUCCACACCCGUUCAGGUACAACAGCCGCCUUCUACCUCUUCUUCUACAAAUUAA
rnacentral:rRNA from 1 species